UCCAUGCCAAAAUAAAGUGAAAUUUGGCAUGGCAAAAAAUAAAGUAAAAUUUGCCAUGGCAAUGAAAGGAAAAAAGUUGCCAUGGCAAUAAAUAAAGUAAAAUUUUAUCAUGGCAAAGUGGAGUAAAAAUUGCCAUGUGUGUUCUAGUAAAUUUGCCAUGUAUCUAAAAGUAAAGUUGCCAUGGGAAAUGAAGGUAAAAAUUUGCCAUGGCAAAAUAAAGUAAAAUUUUGACAUGGCAAAAAUAGAGUAAAAUUUGUCAUGUAUGUAAAUAGUAAAUUUGCCAAGUAUUUAAAGGGAAUUUUUUGCCAUGUAUGUAAAUAGUAAAUUUGCCAUGAAAUCUAUAAUAGAAAGAUCAUGGUGACUACAAAAAGUUUCUGCUAUGGUCCAAAUUCAAAACACAAUACGCCCCUGAAAACCAAAAAGAUAAACUGGAUGCGCAUGUGAACAUUAUGGAAAAAAAAAUGUAAACUUGCCAUGUUUGGAAAACAAACAUGACAUGAAUUUGCCAUGCCAACUAAGUAUGUCUCCAAUGCUAAAAGAUGACAUGAACUUGACAUGGCAACUAAGUAUGUCUCCAAUGCUAAAACAUGACAUGAACGACAUGGCAACUAAGUAUCUCUCCAAUGCUAAAACAUAACAUGAAUUUUCCAUGGCAACUAAGUAUGUCGACAACGCUAAAACAUGACAUGAAUUUGCCAUGGCAACUAAGUUUGGCAUGACAUGAAUUAUGAAUUGAACAUACAAGUAUAUGUAAAAACAGCAGGAGGGAGAACACCAAAAUUAUCACUUCCAUCAUCAUCAAAAAACAAGGUAUGCAAUUUCUUGUCUAUUGACUUACUGAAUAAUCAGCACUUAUAUGGGCACCUUGGCACAAAUUUUCAAAUAUUUCAAACAAACAAACAUACCUGAAUGCUAAACAAAGUACAAAUAAAUCAAAGACUACGUGUAACUGAAUUAACAUGUGCCUCGCAUCACACUGGAAAUAUAUAUGUGAAUUUGUUCAUCUCAAGACAAAUGAGGCUAAAACAAAACCAGACUAGUUGUGCUCAAAUUCAACACAAAAAGGACAGACCUGUAGACAAACCCAGCCGCCCCGAAGCACCUGCUCCGACACCUGCGUGAGCAGCAGUAACAGAUCAACAAAGCAUGUUUCUCUCAAAAAACUGGAUAUGUUCUUCUGCACAAGCACGGUAAGGAUUGUGGAGAAACGACAUCAUGAACUAACGGCAAACAAUCGAAAUGGAAUCAUAGAGGGAAGAAGGACCAGACAUUGACUUCGGCCCUAGUGAAGCAUCUCCUGCACGACGAGGCAGAGGUGGCGUUCCUCUGUUGCGGUUGCGCUCGAUCAGGUGGUGGACGUGUUAUCCAAUUCCUGCCCCGUCCGAGGCCGCCGUCUUGGAGUGGAGGAGAGGGUGAUGCGGAAGCACAUCCUGCAUGCCCCCUUGAACAGUAGUUGUCGGCGCGUUGGCCUCGCCGCCGCUACCACCGGCGUGGCGAAGGCUCUCCCGGCAUUCGUUCCUCAAGCCUAGCCAGGAGGCGCUGAGGUUGGAUCCUGAACUGGCGGCGGCACGAUGUGGAUCUCUGAAGAGGCGGACCUGCACAGGGGCGGUGGGCGCGGGAGCUAGGCUGGGUUCAGCGGGCUCGGGCGUGGGAUGAUCUGCUCCUCCGGAUCGGGAGCGCGCGACGGCGGAUGGGACUGGUCGGGCGUGGGUGGAAGAGGAAGAGGAGUGGGAGGAAGAGGAAUGGGGAAGGAUAGAGAGAGGUGUCGCAGUGUGGGCGUUCGGGGACGACGCAUAUUUCUCU
rnacentral:lncRNA from 1 species